rnacentral:rRNA from 1 species
CAGUCGUACCUAUGGGUAAUCAGCCUUUUGGGUGUGAUUUUGUGGAGCGUGAGGAGUUAAACGCCUUCAUGCCUGCAUAUUCGUGCACUUUGGGUGUACUUGCCCGUAUGGUUGGUUAACAUCAAUUUUGGUGGUCAUAAAAUGACUGGAGGAAUGUAGCUUCGAUCUUGUAUUGAAGUGUUAUAGCCUUCGGUAGAUGUGAUGAUCGAGAUUGAGGAUUGCAACGGAUACCCUUCGGGGCUACCUGUCUGAUCUCUGAUCGUUGCUCUGGUGCCGAAAGCUUGCUUACGGUUAUCAAAGUCGAUGGUCAAUAGGUUAGAACGGGUUAAA